rnacentral:rRNA from 1 species
UACGUAGGGUCCGAGCGUUGUCCGGAAUUAUUGGGCGUAAAGGGCUCGUAGGCGGUCUGUUGCGUCGGGAGUGAAAACUUACAGCUUAACUGUGAGCGUGCUUUCGAUACGGGCAGACUUGAGGCAUUCAGGGGAGAACGGAAUUCCUGGUGUAGCGGUGAAAUGCGCAGAUAUCAGGAGGAACACCGGUGGCGAAGGCGGUUCUCUGGGAAUGUCCUGACGCUGAGGAGCGAAAGCCAGGGGAGCAAACGGG